rnacentral:tRNA from 1 species
GGAGAGUUGGCAGAGUGGCUGAUUGCGUCCGUUUGCUAAACGGAUAGGGUGCAAAUCGCUCUCGCAGGUUCGAAUCCUGCACUCUCCG